rnacentral:rRNA from 1 species
UACGGAAGGUGCAAGCGUUGUUCGGAGUGACUGGGCGUAAAGGGCGCGUAGGCUGGAAGGUAAGAAGAUUGUGAAAACCCUAGGCUCAAACCUCGGGACUUGCAGUUUUGACUGCUUUUCUUGAAUGUCCAAGAGGUUAGUGGAAAUUCCUGGUGUAGGAGUGGAAAGUCCGUAGAUAUCAGGAGGAACACCGGAGGCGAAGGCGGC